AUAAAUUUUUCACAGAUUUACCGUAUAUGCUGCUAAUAAGGCGCAGCGUUUCUACUAGACACCUCAAAUGUCUAACUAUGGAGGCACCUUGAAACAUU
rnacentral:ncRNA from 2 species